UGAUGAGGGUCACACUUAUCACUUAUCAGAACUUGUGGACCUUCAAAUAUUCUCAUUGACUUCAGCUUUUAGCCCACUGCGGUACUGCUAGCUGGAACUGCUUCGUGCUCUUAGAGACCACCCUCAGAACCAACUUUUGGCCAAAGAUCCCUGUCAAGGAAUUGGAUUUAAGAGGAUUUAGCAAUCUUGCUAGUCUAGUACUUUGUAGUUGUAAAGAUCAUUUGUUUCUGGACCUAUGUAUAUAAUUCAUGGCCAGAUAAAUUGAUAUUGCAAAACAAAGAGUUAACAAAACUUAAACUUAUUUUGUCUCUGCUUGCUUGCUUCUCAGAGUCAAACGAAUGCUUGCCUUCAUUUACUCUUUUAUCAAACUGCAUAAGAGCAUGUCCGUCCAUAAGAGACUAUUAAGGGUUCUUAAGAAUAAUUAAGUAGUUAAUUUUGUGAUUUGAAAGGUUAAGAACCUUAGU
rnacentral:lncRNA from 1 species